UACGGGGGGGGCAAGCGUUGUUCGGAAUUACUGGGCGUAAAGGGCUCGUAGGCGGCCAACUAAGUCAGACGUGAAAUCCCCAGGCUCAACCUGGGAACUGCGUCUGAUACUGGAUGGCUUGAAUCCGGGAGAGGGAUGCAGAAUUCCAGGUGUAGCGGUGAAAUGCGUAGAUAUCUGGAGGAAUAUCGGUGGCGAAGGCGGCAUCCUGGACCGGCAUUGACGCUGAGGAGCGAAAGCCAGGGGAGCAAACGGG
rnacentral:rRNA from 1 species